rnacentral:rRNA from 1 species
UUCCGGUUGAUCCUGCCGGAGGCGACCGCUUUUGGAGUUCGAUUAAGCCAUGCGAGUCGAGAGCUUUCGGAGCUCGGCAUACUGCUCAGUAACACGUGGAUAACCUGCCCUAUUGUCUGGAAUAACCUCGGGAAACCGAGAACAAUGCCGGAUAGCCCACAAUGCCUGGAACGGUUUGUGGGUGAAGAUAGGAUGGGUCUGCGGCGUAUCAGGUCGUAGGGGGUGUAAUGGACCUCCUAGCCAUCGACGCGUACGGGUGUUGGGAGACAUAGCCCGGAGAUGGAUUCUGAGACACGAAUCCAGACCCUACGGGGUGCAGCAGGCGCGAAAACUUCACACUGCAGGAAACUGUGAUGAGGGAACUCCAAGUGCUAUCACUAUGUGGUAGCUUUUCUUAACUAUUAAUCGGUUUUGGAAUAAGGGCUGGGAAAGACCGGUGCCAGCCGCCGCGGUAAUACCGGCAGCUCAAGUGGUCGUCGCUUUUAUUGGGCCUAAAACGUCCGUAGCCUGUUUGGUAAAUCUGUGGGUAAAUCAACCAGCUUAACUGGUUGAAUUCUGCAGAGACUGCCAGACUAGGGACCGGGAGAGGUGUGGGUACUCUAGGGGUAGGGGUAAAAUCCUGUCAUCCUUAGAGGACCACCAGUUGCGAAGGCGCCACACUGGAACGGAUCCGACGGUCAGGGACGAAGCCUAGGGGCACGAACCGGAUUAGAUACCCGGGUAGUCCUAGGUGUAAACGCUGUGAACUUGGUGUCGGGGAUCCGUAAUGGGUUCUCGGUGCCGGAGUGAAGAUGUUAAGUUUACUGCCUGGGGAGUACGGUCGCAAGGCUGAAACUUAAAGGAAUUGGCGGGGCAGCAC